AUACAAAUCGGAACAGUACCUAUAAUGCCUGCAUCUGAUGUCUCAACCUCCAAGCUAGUCGUUGGCUGAUCCCUACUGCUGGCGUUCUGAACUCCACCUCUAAGACCUCUACCCCCGCCUCUAGCCAGCUGGGUUGGCUGUGGAACCUCUGAUUCCCGGAGCCAAGCACGAUAUCUCUGCUACUGAGAGCUGCUCAGAGCUCUAGGGCAAAAUCUUACCAUGUGCCUUGGAUCACCACAAGCAUGGCAAAACCUCGACUGCUGCGGAAGGGCACCCCUCAGCCUCGGGCAGGCCCUCCUGAGGUGACCAUACUCGCCACACUCAUAACACCUACAGACAUGCUGAAACUAAGGAAAAUUAGGCUGGCCCUUUCGACUUAAACGAUCACCAAAAGUACCAUGAGUGGCAGGGGAAAUCGACUGAAAGGGCCAUGAAGGAUGGCCUCUACCAUAAGAACCUCUACCUGCAGAAGAGGUACCACUGAAUCUGGUAGACACGCUGCAACUUAGGAAACUAAGGCUGGCCUUGUCGACCCAAACGAUCACCUAAAGUAC
rnacentral:lncRNA from 1 species